rnacentral:tRNA from 1 species
AGCAGCGUGGCUCAGUGGAAAGAGCACGGGCUUUAGAGUCAGAGGUCAUGGGUUCGAAUCCCAGCUCGGCCA